GUUGAAGUCAACUCCUCCAUUGGAAGUGUGUGGCUCUCCUGUCUCGGGCCGUGUUGGAGUUCAGGUCUACCUUCCUGGUUUCUGAGGCACAAGGGCUUUCUUUCCUCCUGGCCUUGGUUCACCUGCAGGGUUUCAGCAUCCAUCUCCAACAACUGCCUCUGACCUGAGGCUGGAAUCAAAGGCUACAGAGUUGUACAUCGAUUAUCUGCGAGUCACCACUGAAGUCUUCUGAUCCGGAGAACUGGCUGUCUCAUUGCUGACAUAGCUGACCCUGGGGAAGGGCUGAAGCUAAACUGUCCUCCUCAGUCCUGCUCUGCCUCUGAUCACUUUCCACUCUGGAUACUGGCAGGUGGUAUCCUUGGCCAGUUUCUUCAGGUCCUUUGGAAUUUUUCCUCUGGCCGCUGGAAAGUUCAAGAACUCAGAGCCUCAAAGUUGCUCCUUCCUGCCCC